rnacentral:rRNA from 1 species
UACGUAGGGUGCAAGCGUUGUCCGGAAUCACUGGGCGUAAAGGGCGCGUAGGCGGCUCGGUAAGUAGGGGGUGAAAUCCUGCGGCUUAACCGCAGGGCUGCCUUCUAAACUGUCGAGCUCGAGCACGGUAGAGGCAGAUGGAAUUCCCGGUGUAGCGGUGGAAUGCGUAGAGAUCGGGAAGAACAUCAGUGGCGAAGGCGGUCUGCUGGGCCGUUGCUGACGCUGAGGCGCGACAGCGUGGGGAGCAAACAGG